AGAGUUUGAUCCUGGCUCAGGGCGAACGCUGGCGGCGUGCCUAACACAUGCAAGUCGAGCGGAGACAGUGAGUAGCUUGCUAUGAGCUGUUUUAGCGGCGGACGGGUGAGUAACGCGUGAGCAACCUUUCCCAGACAGGGGAAUAACACACCGAAAGGUGUACUAAUACCGCAUAAGACCACGGGAUCACAUGGUUCUGGGGUAAAAGAUUUAUCGGUUUGGGGUGGGCUCGCGCCCGAUUAGGUAGUUGGUGAGGUAACGG
rnacentral:rRNA from 1 species